rnacentral:rRNA from 1 species
AUGCGGGCUGGCAGCCCGCCGCCCUCUGUCGUGCGCGAGGAGGACCAGGAGGAGGAGGCAGCCUACCAAGCGGUACUGGCGGCUGCCAUGCAGAACAAUGUCGACGAGGACAGGCGCAAGGCGGCGGCGGAGGAGGCGGCGUACCAGAUGUGGCUGGCGAAGGCCAUCACCCUAUCCGCGGCCGGCGACUGCGUCGUCCCGCCAUCCCAGCCGUCCCCUGUCAAGCUUGAGCCGGCGCCGUCCACUGUGCCGACGACCCAGCGGUUCAUUCGGGACGAAGUGGUGCGCGAGUGGGUUAACGUGCCACCCAUCCGGCUCGAGGCGACACCCACGCAGGAGAAGCUCUACCUUGAGCAGUGGCGGACGCGUUGGCUGGCGGAGGAGCGCCGCAAGGGCGAGCGCGUGGAGCAGUGGGAGCACGACGCAGGGGAGGAGCGCCGCGAGACGGAGAAGGAGGAGCGUCGUGCCCGCGCUGCCCAGCCCGCAGUGGUCACGCCGGCACCGGACGUCGCCACAUCCUAG